rnacentral:rRNA from 1 species
CCCCUACGGGGGGCAGCAGUGGGGGAUAUUGCACAAUGGGGGAAACCCUGAUGCAGCGACGCCGCGUGAGUGAAGAAGUAUUUCGGUAUGUAAAGCUCUAUCAGCAGGGAAGAAAAAAGACGGUACCUGACUAAGAAGCCCCGGCUAACUACGUGCCAGCAGCCGCGGUAAUACGUAGGGGGCAAGCGUUAUCCGGAUUUACUGGGUGUAAAGGGAGCGUAGGCGGUUAUGCAAGUUGAAUGUGAAAUCUAUCGGCUCAACUGAUAGGCUGCGUUCAAAACUGUAUAUCUUGAGUGAAGUAGAGG